CGUCAAAAAAAAGUUAUUGGAGCCUUCCAAGUUCCAAUAGUACCCCUCACAAAUUCAAAUCAUCAUCGACUCUCACGAAUUCAAAUUGCAAUCCACAGCACUUUCCCUCCUUUCCCCCUUUCUCCAACUUCUCACUGCUCCUUCGUUCUCUCUCCUUACUGAAGCAUUAUCAAUGGCGCCCCAAAUCCCUAAACCUCCGCAAAAACCCCUAAAACGUCCGAAUAAACCCAAACCAAUUCCAAAUUCUACGAAGCAGCAGCAACCGCAAAACCCUAGCAUCAAGCGAAAUUGGUCAAUUGCCGAUUUUGAGAUCGGAAAACCCUUGGGGAAGGGAAAAUUCGGAAGGGUCUACCUUGCUCGCGAAGUCAAGAGUAAGUAUAUAGUGGCGUUGAAGGUGAUAUUUAAGGAGCAAAUUGAGAAGUAUAGACUACAUCACCAAUUGAGGAGAGAGAUGGAGAUUCAAAUGAGUUUACGCCACCCGAAUGUUCUAAGGCUUUAUGGAUGGUUUCAUGAUGAAGAAAGGAUUUUUUUGAUCCUUGAGUAUGCUUUUAGGGGUGAACUUUAUAAGGAACUUCAGAGAUCAGGUCAUCUUCCUGAGGAGCAAGCCGCCACGUACAUUGCGAGUCUAACGGAAGCAUUGGCCUAUUGUCAUGACAAGAAUGUCAUCCACAGGGACAUCAAACCCGAGAAUUUGUUGCUUGAUCAUGAGGGUCGUCUGAAGAUUGCAGAUUUUGGUUGGUCUGUACAAUCAAGAAACAAGAGGCACACCAUGUGUGGAACUCUUGACUAUCUGGCACCUGAAAUGGUGGAAAACAAGGCCCAUGAUUAUGCAGUUGACAACUGGACUUUGGGUGUGCUUUGUUAUGAAUUCUUGUAUGGGGUACCUCCAUUUGAGGCUGAGAGCCAACGCGAUACUUUCCGGAGGAUUAUGAAGGUUGAUUUGAACUUUCCGGAUACACCCCAAGUUUCGUCUGAAGCCAAGGAUCUUAUUACCCGACUUCUGGUAAAAGACACAUCAAAGAGGCUCUCUCUUCAGAAGAUAUUGGAGCACCCCUGGAUUCUAAAGAAUGCAGAUCCCACUGGCAUUUUCAAUAAAUAGUUCUUUCACCAAGCAAGUCAAUGGUUAUGUACACAGUGCUGUAUCAAGUUUCAAGAAUGUAUUAGUGAGCAGAGCCGUGUCAAAUGUGUAAUUGGAGAAAUUUUUAUGCGCUGCAAUAUAUAUGAAUGGUCAGAAUUCAGAAACAACGGGAGGGUGCCAUUGUGUAUUAUUUACUUUCCUGCCUAUCCUGUGAAUAUUAUGGUUAGCAAGGAAUGCUCUUUGCCUAAUUUGGGCAUGUUUGGGAUGAUAACAAGCUGAAGCUGGAGUUCAUCGAUUUGGAUCAUUGCACUUUCACUCAAAUUAGCCGAGUCUUAAUUUUGUUUUGAGCCCUUAUUUUCAAGCUCGGCCUAUCUAAAAAAUUAGUUCGAGUGUGAAAAUUGUUACAAAAUUUAUAUACUUCUAAAGAAUUCUGCAAUGUUUUUAU